rnacentral:lncRNA from 1 species
UUUUUUUUUUUUUAAAGGGACGACAUUUAUUCCUUUUCCAAAUGUUACAAUAAAACCAGGUGGAAGAGAAUGGUUUUAGCAGUUAGAAAAGAAAAAAAAAAAAGUACAAAUCUGGGGUUUGGCCAUUAAAAGUUAUUUACAACAAUGGGAGGGGGAAAAAAAAAAGACAACAAGAAGUUGUUUCACAUUACAGACCUCCCCCCACCCCAAAGCUUAAUACUUGCUUACCAAGUCAAAAAAGAGACAGUUGAUUCACAAGCUGGAGGUUCGAACUUGAGUAAGACAUUUAUAAAAACCUAGACAGGGGCUCUGUCCUCCCCAGCCCAGGUGCCACUAGGCACAGCACGAGAGACUAGAAACUCAACAGGGGAAGGCUGGACACUCAGGAUUUGGGAGUGUAGGCACCCCCAGAUCUGGCUCAGGGAUUUGGGGAAUAAACAAAACCUACUUGGAAAAGAAUUGGGGGAGAAAACCAGCAACUGCCUUCUGCAUGGGUGGGGACAGGGAAGGAGGGAGGGCCAGGGGCAGGAGCAUUUCACAUCACUAACCUAACUGGGGAGACUGCAAAGGACCACCUUCAGCUGGCCUUAGGAGGAAGACCAGAUGGAUGAUGGGAGAAUCCACAGGAGGGAGAGGAGAGGGAACGUGGCUAGGGGGCAACAGCCCCUUCCUUUCUGGGCACAGGAAGGCAGCCAGGGCACCAGGUCCAGGCAGUGACCUCACAAGGACAGCACAGUUUUUGCAGCUUAGAGGUCACCCACCUGCCCCCACCCAGCUACUCAUUCUGCUCGCUGGCUGGUGUAGGGCCACUCUCCGGCCCCAAGGGAGUGGAUGGCUCUGUGGCCUGGGGCCCUGCCUCUUCUUCUGUGUCUCCGCCCUUGGAGGCAGCACCAGCCUCUGCCCCUUUGGCCUGGGGCUCCUGGCUCUCACGGGUGGCAACAGCCUUCCCUUCCUGGGCAGUGCCUUCCUCGCUGCAGGCACCGAUCUCCCCCUGCUCUUGCUCUUCCUCUGUGGGCGAGGAGCCACCCCGGGCUCGCGCCGCAGGGGAUAGUUCGGUCGGGUGGGCCUGGCCGGCGGAGGGGUGGGGCUCACGCCUGAGGGGGAAGGGUGUCGGGGGGAAACCGACUGCACCCCCGCUCCGUGCCCGACCCGCUGGCUGCGCCCGCCGCCUCUCUGCUCCGCGCCAGAAU